UUUCCGUAGGUGAACCUGCGGAAGGAUCAUUAUUGAAUGAAACACUUCUGGCUUUAUGCUGUUGUGCUGGCCCUUUGGGCAAUGUGCACACGGCUCUGGUCACUUGUUUCUUCUGUACCACCUGUGCACUGCCUGUAGACAAGCUGUGUCUAUGAUAUUUGUUAACACACAACAAUGUUAGUUGGCAUGUUAUAUAUAAUAAUAAAAUAUACAACUUUCAACAACGGAUCUCUUGGCUCUC
rnacentral:misc_RNA from 1 species